rnacentral:lncRNA from 1 species
CACAUCUAACAACAAUUACUUGCUUUAUUAGUAUGUUUAAUGCAAUCAUAGAUGUUCUUAAGAAUAUAUUAGAAGAUGUCAUAAGUUUAGAUAAAAAAUCAAUGGUUGUAAGACAGAUGGACACUAUGCAAGAUUUUCAGUUUGUGUUCAGUCUUCAUUUUAUGUUUGAAAUUCUUGCAAUUACAGACAACAUUUAUAGAUAAAGGAUUAGGAUAUUCAGAAUGCUAUGAGGUUAUUAAAGUUGUGUAAGUACGCAUUGCAGAACAUGAGUGACAAUAGUUGGGAUACUUUGCUGAGUAAGGUGAUUGAGUUUUGUGUUGAUGACAUAUUUCAGUGCCCAACAUGGAGGAUAUUGUAGUAUUAAAAGGUCAACCUAGGCGUGCAGCUCAACAAGUGACAUAUUAUCAUUGCUUUUAUGUUUAUUUGUAUUGUCAUGUGAUAGUUUCAAUCUUGCAAGAGUUGAAUGAUCGUUUUCCAAAAAAAAAACUACUGAGCUUUUUACUUGCAUUUCGUGUUUAAGUCCAAGAGAUUCAUUUUCGGCUUUUGAUGUAUGUAAAGUGGUACGUCUUACUCAGUUAUAUCCUUUGGAUUUCAAUGGUGAAGAUCUUUUAUUACUUAGACCUCAACUUGACAAGUUUUUUAUGCUUGUGAGAAUGGACGAAGCUAUCUUCAACCUCAAAAGAA